AUUGAACGCUGGCGGCAUGCCUUAUACAUGCAAGUCGAACGGUAACAGGUCUUCGGAUGCUGACGAGUGGCGAACGGGUGAGUAAUACAUCGGAACGUGCCCGAUCGUGGGGGAUAACGGAGCGAAAGCUUUGCUAAUACCGCAUGCGAUCUACGGAUGAAAGCAGGGGACCGCAAGGCCUUGCGCGGACGGAGCGGCCGAUGGCAGAUUAGGUAGUUGGUGGGAUAAAAGCUUACCAAGCCGACGAUCUGUAGCUGGUCUGAGAGGACGACCAGCCACACUGGGACUGAGACACGGCCCAGACUCCUACGGGAGGCAGCAGUGGGGAAUUUUGGACAAUGGGCGAAAGCCUGAUCCAGCCAUGCCGCGUGCAGGAUGAAGGCCUUCGGGUUGUAAACUGCUUUUGUACGGAACGAAAAGACUCCUUCUAAUAAAGGGGGUCCAUGACGGUACCGUAAGAAUAAGCACCGGCUAACUACGUGCCAGCCGCCGCGGUAACAC
rnacentral:rRNA from 1 species